rnacentral:rRNA from 1 species
CUGGUCUCAAAUCAGGUAGGACUACCCGCUGAACUUAAGCAUAUCAAUAAGCGGAGGAAAAGAAACUAACUAGGAUUCCCUUAGUAACGGCGAGUGAACCGGGAAAAGCUCAAAUUUGUAAUCUGGCUGUCUUCGAUAGUCCGAGUUGUAAUCUAUAGACGUGUUUUCCGUGCUGGACCGUAUCUAAGUCCCUUGGAACAGGGUAUCAAAGAGGGUGACAAUCCCGUGCUUGAUACGACCACCAGUGCUCUGUGAUACACGCUCUACGAGUCGAGUUGUUUGGGAAUGCAGCUCAAAAUGGGUGGUAAAUUCCAUCUAAAGCUAAAUAUUGGCGAGAGACCGAUAGCGAACAAGUACCGUGAGGGAAAGAUGAAAAGCACUUUGGAAAGAGAGUUAAACAGUACGUGAAAUUGUUGAAAGGGAAACGAUUGAAGUCAGUCGUGUUCUUUGGAUUCAGCUAGUUCUUCUAGUCUACUUCCAUUGAACGGGUCAACAUCAGUUUUGUCCGGUGGAUAAAGAUAGUAGGAAUGUAGCUCCCCCGGGAGUGUUAUAGACUAUUAUUGCAUACACUGGGUGAGACUGAGGACUGCAGCUCGCCUUUUGGCCGGUCUUCGGACACGUUCGAGCUUAGGAUGUUGACAUAAUGGCUUUAAACGAC